rnacentral:sRNA from 1 species
AUUUUUAACCCACGGGACACAGAUUCAAUGGUUGACACUUUUUAUGCUAUUGGACUUGUGAUGCGACUUUGCCAAUCCGUAUCUCUCCUGGAACUGCUGCACAUAUAUGUUGGCAUUGAGUCAAACCAUCUUCUCCCAAGGUUUUUGCAGGAGAUUUCCCCCUCUGUCCUCUUCAAUUAAGGGAUGACCUGACAUCAUGGAUAGCUUACAACUCUGGAAACCAGGAGACUUCGGAUAUAUAUAUAUGUUUCCAGCUCACAGAAAGAAUAAUCAUCCUUUUUGUGGUGAUCACCAGUCAAGAGGAAGUCCAAGAGAAAUAUGUGGUGUGUGUUUUAUUCAUCUUUUGGAAUCUAUUGGAUAUGGUUAGGUAAGAAGGCAAAAUAAUCUCUUAAAACAAGGCUAAAUUGCUUUCUGCAGUGAAACCAGUACUACCAGAGGUUACUUGGUAUGAGAGAGGAAAACAUAUCCCCUUUUCAAAUUAUUUUAUCUUGAUAUGGAAAUGUAUUUUUAGUGUUCUCCAUAAUGGGCAUAUCAAAGAUAAUGAAAACCUACCGUGGUAUUACAAGAGUAAAUCAGCACAUUCAGGUUUCUGCAGAAGGCUUGGCAUAAAACCAACUUGGAAUAACCCUCAGCUGUUUCCUAACAAAGGCAUUCCUCACAAUUGCUUUAGUACGGUUGCUUUAAUAAGCAAAGCAGGUCUUUUAUUUUAUCACCAGAAUUCACAGUUAGUUUCUGUGCAUUCAAGAAUCUUUUAAAUAUAGGGCCUCUCAGGAAGAAAAUGCACUCUCACAUUCAUUUACAAUUCCAGUGGGUUCAAAUGACUAACUUAAGUCCUUUUACUGCUAAUUCUAAAACUUUGCAGUGAGAUGUGCCUAGUCUUACCUCUACAAGUGGUGGUGUCAAACAGUCCCCUUUGCUCAGUGAGUGCUUACGCCUCACUCUGGGGAGGUGUCCUAACUGCUAGGUCAGCUUUCCCAAAUAAGAACCGUCCCUCCUACUUGAGAGAUCUGGAUUUGAAUAGGUAACAAAAGAGCCCUACUUUGUUUUUUAGCCAAGGGUAUGUAAAUUUUUUUAUUAUAUUGUCAAUAACUUAACUGAAUUAAAAUAUGUUAAAUAAUAA